GACGAACGCUGGCGGCGUGCUUAACACAUGCAAGUCGAGCGGUAAGGCCCUUUCGGGGGUACACGAGCGGCGAACGGGUGAGUAACACGUGGGUGACCUGCCCUCAGCUCUGGGAUAAGCCCGGGAAACUGGGUCUAAUACCGGAUAUGACUCCAUGACGCAUGUUGUGGGGUGGAAAGCCUUGUGCGGCUGAGGAUGGGCCCGCGGCCUAUCAGCUUGUUGGUGGGGUGAUGGCCACCAAGGCGACGACGGGUAGCCGGCCUGAGAGGGCGACCGGCCACACUGGGACUGAGAUACGGCCCAGACUCCUACGGGAGGCAGCAGUGGGGAAUCUUGCGCAAUGGGCGAAAGCCUGACGCAGCGGCGCCGCGUGAGGGAUGACGGCCUGGUGUAAC
rnacentral:rRNA from 1 species